rnacentral:rRNA from 1 species
AGGGUUUGAUUAUGGCUCAGGAUGAACGCUAGCGGCAGGCCUAACACAUGCAAGUCGAGGGGUAACAGGAAAGCUUGCUUUUGCUGACGACCGGCGCACGGGUGCGUAACGCGUAUGCAACCUACCUCAUACAGGAGAAUAGCCCUUGGAAACGAGGAUUAAUACUCCAUGGUAUCAUUUUUUCGCAUGUUAGAAUGAUUAAAGAAUUUCGGUAUGAGAUGGGCAUGCGUCCCAUUAGCUUGUUGGUGAGGUAACGGCUCACCAAGGCAACGAUGGGUAGGGGGCCUGAGAGGGUGGUCCCCCACACUGGUACUGAGACACGGACCAGACUCCUACGGGAGGCAGCAGUGAGGAAUAUUGGUCAAUGGAGGAAACUCUGAACCAGCCAUGCCGCGUGAAGGAUGACGGCCCUAUGGGUUGUAAACUUCUUUUAUAUGGGAAGAAACUUAUCUACGUGUAGAUAACUGACGGUACCAUACGAAUAAGGAUCGGCUAACUCCGUGCCAGCCGCCGCGGUAAUA